GACGAACGCUGGCGGCGCGCCUAACACAUGCAAGUCGAACGAGCGAGAGAGAGCUUGCUUUCUCAAGCGAGUGGCGAACGGGUGAGUAACGCGUGAGGAACCUGCCUCAAAGAGGGGGACAACAGUUGGAAACGACUGCUAAUACCGCAUAAGCCCACGACCCGGCAUCGGGUAGAGGGAAAAGGAGCAAUCCGCUUUGAGAUGGCCUCGCGUCCGAUUAGCUAGUUGGUGAGGUAACGGCCCACCAAGGCGACGAUCGGUAGCCGGACUGCGGGGUUGAACAGCGACGUGGGGACACGGCCACGACCCACGCGCCGAGGGGAGACAGCAGUGGAGAUGAGACCAGGGGGGGGAACAGCAUGGGGGGGGGCCGGGACGGGGAGGAAGUAGGUGUUAGGUUUUAAAAUUCCGGUGUGGGAUGAUGAGAAGCACGGUACAAAAAGAGGAAGUGCGGGCUAACGGCGGGCCUGACGCCGAGUAAAAAGGGAAGAGCGCCCGCUUCACC
rnacentral:rRNA from 1 species